GGCAAAUCUCCAAAAGCCGUCCCAGUUCGGAUUGCAGGCUGCAACCCGCCUGCAUGAAGUUGGAAUCGCUAGUAAUCGCGGAUCAGCGUGCCGCGGUGAAUACGUUCCCGGGCCUUGUACACACCGCCCGUCACACCAUGAGAGUCGGGAACACCCGAAGUCCGUAGCCUAACCGCAAGGGGGGCGCGGCCGAAGGUGGGUUCGAUAAUUGGGGUGAAGUCGUAACAAGGUAAC
rnacentral:rRNA from 1 species